rnacentral:misc_RNA from 1 species
CCUUAAAGAACCUGUCUUUGUAGUGCUCACACAGAUUGUUUGAUAAAUAAUAAAUUUCAAAAUGUACUGCGAGGUGCAUUGUGAAAUUUUGCUCUUUAAAAAUCUGGAUCAAGCUGAAAAUUGAAACGACACACAGUCAAUGUGUGUUCGAGUCUCUCAAAUUUUCGCAAUCAGAAGUGAAACAUCUUCGGGUUGUGA